rnacentral:rRNA from 1 species
UACGUAGGGUCCGAGCGUUUGUCCGGAAUUAUUGGGCGUAAAGCGCGCGUAGGCGGCCCGGUAAGUCCGCUGUAAAAGUCAAAGGCUCAACCUUUGAAUGUCAGUGGAUACUGCCGGGCUAGAGUCCGGAAGAGGCGAGUGGAACUCCUGGUGUAGCGGUGGAAUGCGCAGAUAUCAGGAAGAACACCGACGGCGAAGGCAGCUCGCUGGGACGGUACUGACGCUGAGGCGCGAAAGCGUGGGGAGCGAACAGG